AGAGUUUGAUCCUGGCUCAGAACGAACGCUGGCGGCAUGGAUUAGGCAUGCAAGUCGAACGGAGAAAGGGAGCUUGCUCCCUGGAUCAGUGGCGAAAGGGUGAGUAACGCGUGAGUAACGUGCCCCCAAGUUGGGAAUAACCCCGCGAAAGCGGGGCUAAUACCGAAUGUGGUUGUUUUUUCGCAUGUUAAAACAACUAAAGAUUUAUUGCUUGGGGAUCGGCUCGCGUCCAAUUAUGCUUGUUGGUAAGGUAACGGCUUACCAAGGCUAUGACGGGUAGGUGGUCUAAGAGGAUGGUCACCCACACUGGGACUGAGACACUGCCCAGACUCCUACGGGAGGCUGCAGUCGAGAAUCUUCCGCAAUGGGCGAAAGCCUGACGGAGCAAUGCCGCGUGCAGGAUGAAGGCCUUUGGGUUGUAAACUGCUGUCACUGGGGAUGAAAUCUGACAGUACCCGGAGAGGAAGCCACGGCUAACUACGUGCCAGCAGCCGCGGUAAUACGUAGGUGGCGAGCGUUGUUCGGAUUUAUUGGGCGUAAAGGGUUCGUAGGGGGUUUGUUAAGUCUGAUGUGAAAGCCCGCGGCUCAACCGCGGAACUGCAUUGGAAACUGAUGAACUAGAGGACCGGAGAGGAGAGUGGAAUUCCAGGAGUAGCGGUGGAAUGCAUAGAUAUCUGGAAGAACACCAACAGCGAAGGCAGCUCUCUGGACGGUUCCUGACCCUGAGGGACGAAAGCGUGGGUAGCAAACAGGCUUAGAUACCCUGGUAAUCCACGCCGUAAACGUUGUGUGCUUGGUUUGGGCGGAUUCAACCCCGUCCGAAUCGGAGCUAACGUGUUAAGCACACCGCCUGGGGACUACGGCCGCAAGGCUAAAACUCAAAGGAAUUGACGGGGACCCGCACAAGCGGUGGAGCAUGUGGCUUAAUUCGAGGCAACGCGAAGAACCUUACCUGGGCUUGACAUAUACCUGACGAGUUGUGAAAGCAACUUUUCUUCGGACAAGUAUACAGGUGCUGCAUGGCUGUCGUCAGCUCGUGCCGUGAGGUGUUCGGUUAAGUCCGGCAACGAGCGCAACCCGUAUCGUUAGUUACCAUCAGGUAAUGCUGGGGACUCUAACGAGACUGCCCGUGUUAAGCGGGAGGAAGGCGAGGAUGACGUCAAGUCCGUAUGGCCCUUAUGUCCAGGGCUGCACACGUGCUACAAUGGUCGGUACAAUGGGCAGCGAUACCGCGAGGUGGAGCAAAUCCCCAAAACCGGCCCCAGUUCAGAUUGUAGUCUGCAACUCGACUACAUGAAGUCGGAAUCGCUAGUAAAGGCGUAUCAGCAACGACGCCUUGAAUACGUUCCCGGGUCUUGUACACACCGCCCGUCACAUCAUGGAAGCUGACUGCACCCGAAGUCGUUGACCCAACCCAUUCCCGGGAGGGAGACGCCGAAGGUGUGGUGAGUAACUGGGAUGAAGUCGUAACAAGGUA
rnacentral:rRNA from 1 species